GUAGGAAAGGACGAAGAGGAAGCGCCAGGGAUGUUGAGGCCGCAGAGGCGCUAUUUUGGUUACGGGCAGGACUGAUUCCCAGGACCCAAACCCUUUUUUAUCUCUUGGGUAGAAGAGGUGGAAGCGUGGAGCCAGGAGGCCCAGGAUCCAGAGGGAUCCAGGGAUGGGAGCAAGGAAAAAGAAGAGCUGAAGGGGAAGCUCAUUAAAAGAUUCUGCCUUUUAGUCAAUGCACGUGAAAUAUCUGGCAAGGAGAUACAUGUGGCAUCAAGCCUUGUUGGCACUCUGCUCUUAAGACCUAGAGAUGAACAUAAAGAGGAAAAAGGCUCCCAUGCUCACUCUGCUCACAGCAUGCAAAGAUAUCUGCAUGCUCCCUGGAUUUUACAUCUUUUGAAUAAAGAUGUAUUCUUGGGUCACAGAAGCUGGAAAUACAUGUUGACUUUAUUUUUUUAAUCCUCACCUAAAGAUAUGUUUAUUGAUUCCAGAGAGAGAGGAAGGGAGAGACAGAGAAAUAUUGAUGUGAAAGAGAAACAUGGAUCAGUUGCCUCUUGU